UACGUAGGGUGCAAGCGUUGUCCGGAAUUAUUGGGCGUAAAGAGCUCGUAGGCGGUCUGUCGCGUCGGAUGUGAAAACCCAGGGCUCAACCCUGGGCCUGCAUUCGAUACGGGCAGACUAGAGUUCGGUAGGGGAGACUGGAAUUCCUGGUGUAGCGGUGAAAUGCGCAGAUGUCAGGAGGAACACCGGUGGCGAAGGCGGGUCUCUGGGCCGAAACUGACGCUGAGGAGCGAAAGCGUGGGGAGCAAACAGG
rnacentral:rRNA from 1 species